UUGUGCAAUCAUACAUGUACCUAGGGUAAUGAUGUCUGUUUCAUUCCACUGUCUUUUCUACUUCCUUACCUCCUUCCCCCUUUGCCCCAUCCAAAGUUCCUCUACUCAUAUCACACACACAUUCCCAUUAUUGAUUAACAUCCACUUAUCAGAGAAAACAUUCAUCCCUUGGUUUUUUUAGGAUUGGCUUAUUUCACUUAGCAUGAUCUUCUCCAGCUCCAUCCAUUUACCUGUAAAUGCUGUAAUUUUAUUCUCCUAAAGUUGCUUUAUUUAAAUUGGCAUCUAUUAGAGUUUUAAAAGAUAAACUGCAAUUUUAAAAUAUGGCCAUUUUUCUUCAAGGUAGGAUGUAAUUAAUAUCAUCUAAUAUAAAUCUUGACACACUUGUACUGGGUGCUCCUCUUCUGAGAGUGUAUUUAUCACUUUACUGAUCUAAUUCUUCUAAUUUUAAUUUUCACUGCUUUAAAGUAGAUCCUCACCAUGUUGGGAUAGGGAUUAGGAGAUUAUUAGUAGUUAAAUUGCUAAAGGUUAAAUGUUUCCAUAUGUAGUCAUGAUAAAAUGUAUUUUUGCUUUCUGACUCUAGAAGUAUUCACAGAACCUGAAGAAUUACUUGUUCUCUGAUGGGUCUUUUCUGAUUCAACACAGAAAAGGAGAUGGAAAACUGAUGGAUUCCCCUGUGCUUGAAAGAUCAUACUGUAGUUUAUGGGGUCUGAAGUUUGAAGGAGUUCAGGACAAAGGGAAGAAAUUGACAGAACUUUCAUAAAACCAAAGACUGGCAGAAACAAAGUAAAUGAUGAUGAAACUGAGCAAUAGAUCACCCAGAAGGAGUAUGUCCUGCCCAAAUGAAUGUGGCAUUUCACCCUUCAAGAAAUAAAUGGAUACCCUGUCCCACAGAAGGCCAGGGCUCGCAUGUCAGCAUCACUCACUUC